rnacentral:snRNA from 1 species
AUACCUUUUUCGGCCUUUUGGCUAAGAUCAAGUGUAGUAUCUGUUCUUGUCAGUUUAAUAUCUGAUACUUGGGCCAUUGGCCCACAUGAUAUUAAAUUAAUUUUUCUUGGGGGAAGGCCCACUUUAGUAGCUUGUUACUGGGACUUCAAGCAUCGCCCAUGCGUUGCACUACUAUAGGGGCCUGGCUCACUCCCU